AUGCUCCUUCCCAUCCCCAAAAUCCUCCGUUUUUCCAGGUUUUUUUCCCCGGUUUUUCCCAGGUUUUGUAUUCCCGGUUUUUUUGUAUUUUCCCGGUUUUUCCCUCGGAAGGGUCAGCACUGCCCUCAUCCCACAUUUCCCAAUAAAAAUCUUCCCUUUUCCAAGGAAAUCCCAUUUUAUUCCAGGGGUUUGCAUGUGGGGCUGGAACUGUGGGAAUUCCCUCCUUUCCUGGAGUAUUCCCGAGGUUUUCCAGGAAUUCCUGAGGUUUUCCUGGUGUUAAUCCACAUUUUCCUGAGAUUUUUCAGGGAUUCCUGGUGUUAUCCAGAUUUUCCUUUUUCAGGAAUCCCUGGUGCUAAAUCCAGUUUUUCCUGAGGUUUUACAGGAAUUUUUGAGGUUUUUCUGGUGUUAAAUCCAGGUUUUCCUGAGAUUUUCCAGGAAUUCCUGAUGUUAAAUCCUGAUUUUCCAAUAUUCAAUCCCAGUUUUCCCGGUGUUUUCCAGGAAUCCCCCGUGUAAAAUCCAGAUUUUCCUGAGAUUUUCCAAGAAUCCCCGGUGCUAAAUCCCGGUUUUCCAGGAUUUCCCGCUGUUCAAUCCUGGUUUUCUUGAGGUUUUCCAGGAAUUCCUGCAGUUUUCCUGGUGUUAUCCGGAUUUUCCUGAGAUUUUUUUAUCAGGAAUUCCUGGUGUUGAAUCCCGGUUUUCCCGAUGGUUUCCGGGAAUUCCCGGUGUUAAAUCCCGGGUUUUCAGCAAUCCCCACUGUUCAAUCCCGUUUUUCCCGGUGUUUUCAGGAAUCCCCGAUGUUAAAUCCCGGUUUUCCUGGUGUUCGAUCCUGGUUUUCCUGAUGAUUUCCAGCAAUCCCCGGUGCUCAAUCCCGUUUUUCCAGGAUUUCCCGUUGUUCAAUCCCGUUUUUCCCGAUGAUUUCCCGCUGUUCAAUCCCGUUUUUCCCGGUGUUUGCCGCAAUCCCCGCUGUUCAAUCCCGUUUUUCCCGAUGAUUUCCCGCUGUUCAAUCCCGUUUUUUCUGAGUUUUUCCCGAUGAUUUCCCGCUGUUCAAUCCCGUUUUUCCCGGUGUUUGCCGCAAUCCCGGUCCCCUCUCCGUCCCCUCGCUGCCGCCGCCGCUCUCUCCCGGUGGCCCCGUUCCCGUUCCCGGCCGCGCUCCCGGCGUUCAUCGCGUUCAUUAAUUGCGUUAAUUGCGCUCAUUAAUUGCGU
rnacentral:lncRNA from 1 species